rnacentral:rRNA from 1 species
UAAGGAAUAUUGCGCAAUGGGGGAAACCCUGACGCAGCAACGCCGCGUGGAGGAUGACACUUUUCGGAGCGUAAACUCCUUUUAUCAGGAAAGAAUAAUGACGGUACCUGAUGAAUAAGCACCGGCUAACUCCGUGCCAGCAGCCGCGGUAAUACGGGGGGUGCAAGCGUUACUCGGAAUCACUGGGCGUAAAGGACGCGUAGGCGGAUUAUCAAGUCUUUUGUGAAAUCUAGUGGCUUAACCACUAAACUGCUUAGGAAACUGAUAGUGUAGAGUAGGGGAGAGGUAGAUGGAAUUCUUGGUGUAGGGGUAAAAUCCGUAGAGAUCAAGAAGAAUACCCAUUGCGAAAGCGAUCUGCUGGAACCUAACUGACGCUGAGGCGUGAAAGCGUGGGUAGCAAACAGG